rnacentral:rRNA from 1 species
AGAGUUUGAUCCUGGCUCAGGACGAACGCUGGCGGCGCGCCUAACACAUGCAAGUCGAACGAGCGAGAGAGAGCUUGCUUUCUCAAGCGAGUGGCGAACGGGUGAGUAACGCGUGAGGAACCUGCCUCAAAGAGGGGGACAACAGUUGGAAACGACUGCUAAUACCGCAUAAGCCCACGGCUCGGCAUCGAGCAGAGGGAAAAGGAGCAAUCCGCUUUGAGAUGGCCUCGCGUCCGAUUAGCUAGUUGGUGAGGUAACGGCCCACCAAGGCGACGAUCGGUAGCCGGACUGAGAGGUUGACCGGCCACAUUGGGACUGAGGUACGGCCCAGACUCCUACGGGAGGCAGCA